rnacentral:rRNA from 1 species
UGAGCAAUCUGCCCUUCUCAUCGGAAUAAGCGUUGGAAACGACGUCUAAUGCCGAAUACGACCUCCUUUCGCAUGAUCGGAGGUGGAAAGCUCCGGCGGAGAAGGAUGAGCUCGCGGCCUAUCAGCUAGUUGGUGUGGGUAAUGGCCCACAAGGCGACGACGGGUAGCCGGCCUGAGGAGGGUGACCGGCCACACGUGGGACUGAGACACGGCCCAGACCUCCGUACGGGAGCAG